rnacentral:lncRNA from 1 species
UCAAAGAUAAUUUAACUAUUCAUGAUUGGUUGGUUUAUUUAGCAAUUAUUCAUAGCUUGUUAAAAAACUCAUGGAUUCUUAUUGAUAUACAAAGUUGUUGGACUUAGUGCAAGCAUGCAUUUUGCUGUUUGCUGCUAUUGCUACUGCUCUAUUGCUGCUACUAUUGUUGUUGCUGCUGUUGUUGUUGCUGUUAUUGUUGGGGCAUCUC